rnacentral:rRNA from 1 species
GACGAACGUUGGCGGCGUGCUUAACACAUGCAAGUCGAACGGAAAGGCCCUGCUUUUGUGGGGUGCUCGAGUGGCGAACGGGUGAGUAACACGUGAGUAACCUGCCCUUGACUUUGGGAUAACUUCAGGAAACUGGGGCUAAUACCGGAUAGGAGCUCCUGCUGCAUGGUGGGGGUUGGAAAGUUUCGGCGGUUGGGGAUGGACUCGCGGCUUAUCAGCUUGUUGGUGGGGUAGUGGCUUACCAAGGCUUUGACGGGUAGCCGGCCUGAGAGGGUGACCGGCCACGUUGGGACGGGGGGACGGCCCAGAGUGCUACGGGAGGCAGCAGUGGGGAAUAUUGCACAAUGGGCGGAAGCCUGAUGCAGCAACGCCGCGUGCGGGAUGACGGCCUUCGGGUUGUAAACCGCUUUCGCCUGUGACGAAGCGUGAGUGACGGUAAUGGGUAAAGAAGCACCGGCUAACUACGUG